CACGUAGUUAGCCGGUGCUUCUUCUCCAGGUACCGUCACAAAAAUGCUUCGUCCCUAGCGAAAGGAGUUUACAACCCGAAGGCCUUCAUCCCCACGCGGCGUCGCUGCAUCAGGCUUGCGCCCAUUGUGCAAUAUUCCCCACUGCUGCCUCCCGUAGGACGUCUGGGCCGUAUCUCAGUCCCAAUGUGGCCGUACACCCUCUCAGGCCGGCUACCCGUCGACGCCUUGGUAGGCCAUUACCCCACCAACAAGCUGAUAGGCCGCGAGCUCAUCCCAUACCGCAAAAGCUUUCCACAACAAUAUCCAAAAAGUUGUCCUAUCCGGUAUUAGACCCAGUUUCCCAAGCUUAUCCCGAAGUACAGGGCAGAUCACCCACGUGUUACUCACCCGUUCGCCACUCGAGUACCAGUGCAAGCACUGGCCUUCCGUUCGACUUGCAUGUGUUAAGCACGCCGCCAGCGUUCAUCCUCGUAGUCCACGGACGUCAAACUACU
rnacentral:rRNA from 1 species